rnacentral:rRNA from 1 species
GACGAACGCUGGCGGCGUGCUUAACACAUGCAAGUCGAACGGAAAGGCCCUGCUUUUGUGGGGUGCUCGAGUGGCGAACGGGGGAGUAACACGUGAGUAACCUGCCCUUGACUUUGGGAUAACUUCAGGAAACUGGGGCUAAUACCGGAUAGGAGCUCCUGCUGCAUGGUGGGGGUUGGAAAGUUUCGGCGGUUGGGGAUGGACUCGCGGCUUAUCAGCUUGUGGGUGGGGUAGUGGCUUACCAAGGCUUUGACGGGUAGCCGGCCUGAGAGGGUGACCGGCCACAUUGGGACUGCGAUACGGCCCAGACUCCUACGGGAGGCAGCAGUGGGGAAUAUUGCACAAUGGGCGGAAGCCUGAUGCAGCAACGCCGCGUGCGGGAUGACGGCCUUCGGGUUGUAAACCGCUUUCGCCUGUGACGAAGCGUGAGUGACGGUAAUGGGUAAAGAAGCACCGGCUAACUACGUG